GACGAACGCUGGCGGCGUGCUUAACACAUGCAAGUCGAACGGAAAGGCCCUGCUUGCAGGGUACUCGAGUGGCGAACGGGUGAGUAACACGUGGGUGAUCUGCCCUGCACUUCGGGAUAAGCCUGGGAAACUGGGUCUAAUACCGGAUAGGAGCCAUUUUUAGUGUGAUGGUUGGAAAGUUUUUUCGGUGUAGGAUGAGCUCGCGGCCUAUCAGCUUGUUGGUGGGGUAAUGGCCUACCAAGGCGGCGACGGGUAGCCGGCCUGAGAGGGUGGACGGCCACAUUGGGACUGAGAGACGGCCCAGACUCCGACGGGAGGCAGCAGUGGGGAAUAUUGCACAAUGGGCGCAAGCCUGAUGCAGCGACGCCGCGUGGGGGAUGACGGUCUUCGGGUUGUAAACUCAUUUCGCUAGGGACGAAGCUUUUUGUGACGGUACCUAGAUAAGAAGCACCGGCUAACUACGUG
rnacentral:rRNA from 1 species